rnacentral:rRNA from 1 species
ACGAACGCUGGCGGCGUGCCUAAUACAUGCAAGUUGAGCGCUGAAGGUUGGUACUUGUACCGACUGGAUGAGCAGCGAACGGGUGAGUAACGCGUGGGGAAUCUGCCUUUGAGCGGGGGACAACAUUUGGAAACGAAUGCUAAUACCGCAUAAAAACUUUAAACACAAGUUUUAAGUUUGAAAGAUGCAAUUGCAUCACUCAAAGAUGAUCCCGCGUUGUAUUAGCUAGUUGGUGAGGUAAAGGCUCACCAAGGCGAUGAUACAUAGCCGACCUGAGAGGGUGAUCGGCCACAUUGGGACUGAGACACGGCCCAAACUCCUACGGGAGGCAGCAGUAGGGAAUCUUCGGCAAUGGACGAAAGUCUGACCGAGCAACGCCGCGUGAGUGAAGAAGGUUUUCGGAUCGUAAAACUCUGUUGGUAGAGAAGAACGUUGGUGAGAGUGGAAAGCUCAUCAAGUGACGGUAACUACCCAGAAAGGGACGGCUAACUACG